UACAGAGGUCUCAAGCGUUGUUCGGAUUCAUUGGGCGUAAAGGGUGCGUAGGUGGCGCGCUAAGUCAGGUGUGAAAUUUCGGAGCUUAACUCCGAAACCUGCAUUUGAUACUGGCGUGCUUGAGGACUGGAGAGGAGACUGGAAUUCAUGGUGUAGCAGUGAAGUGCGUAGAGAUCAUGAGGAAGACCAGUGGCGAAGGCGGGUCUCUGGACAGUUCCUGACGCUGAGGCACGAAGGUCAGGGGAGCAAACGGG
rnacentral:rRNA from 1 species